AAAAGCCCAAAAGAACUAACGCGGCGGCAGGCCUAACACAUUCAGUCGCAGGUGAAGCUUGUGCUUCGUGCUGAGUGGAGACUGGCGCACGGUGAGUAACGCGUGGGAAUUUGCCCUGGGGUGGGGGAUAACCGCUGGAAACGGCGGCUAAUACCGCAUACGCCCCCGGACUUGAUCUGGGGGGAAAGAUUUAUCGCCCUGGGAGGAGCCCGCGUUGGAUUAGCUAGUUGGUGGGGUAAAGGCCUACCAUGGCAUCGAUCCAUAGCUGGUCUGAGAGGAUGAUCAGACACACUGGGACUGAGACACGGCCCAGACUCCUACGGGAGGCAGCAGUGGGGAAUAUUGGACAAUGGGCGCAAGCCUGAUCCAGCCAUGCCGCGUGAGUGAAGAAGGCCCUAGGGUUGUAAAGCUCUUUCACCCGUGAAGAUGAUGACGGUAACGGGAGAAGAAGCCCCGGCUAACUCCGUGCCAGCAGACGCGGAUAUACGUGAGGGGGCAAGCGUUGUUCGGAAUUACUGGGCGUAAAGGGCGCGUAAGCGGACCGACCAGUCAGGGGUGAAAUGUCUGGGCUCCACCCGGGAAUUGCCUUUGAAACUGUUGGUCUAGAGUCCCGAAAAGGAUGGGUAAUUCCCCGUGUAAGGUGACUUCGUAGAUAUUGGAAGAACACCUGUGGCGAAGGCGGC
rnacentral:rRNA from 1 species